AAAAAGUCUCAACUAUUAUCAAUACAUGGUUAACAUAGCUUAUGGUUUACAGAACUGAAAAGUUUCAGAAACUAAAGGCAGAAGUUGAAAGGCAGAGCAAAAAGUGUAAGUUUGUGCAUAAAGCAGAAUAUGAAUAGUAUAUUUGUAGUAUAUAGCAUGAGUAUGAAGUAUUUUUAUGGUUUAUUUUUAUUCUAAUCUGUGCCUGAAUCAGGUUGGCCAUGUAAUCUGCAGGAACAGGAGUGUUGCAGAAUUACUUGGUCUGUCAAACCAAAUGUUGAGAUUGUUGAGAUAUUUCCUUGAGUGGAUUAUGACACAGGUGCCUACAGAUACUGGUAUAGAAUAAACCACCCACUUGUUGUAUGAGUUGUUAUAAUAAAAGACCAGUGUUAGUGUAGGUACAUUGUGCACUGAAUUCAUUGUAGCUGUGCCAUUGGGUGACAUCACAAAAAGGGAAUGUGGAAAGAUUGGGAAAAUCCUAAUAGCUUAUUUUCGUGUUGUGCUUAUCAUAUCGGAGUAAUCACUUGUGUUUCAUCGACUAAUCAUUAUGCUUUGAAUGGUGCAGUGAGACUAAACAUGCCAUCGCAGUGGCCGCGUGGUCUGAGGCGUGGGCCUUGUGUCGCUUGGUCCGUGGGUUCGAAUCCCACUCAAGGCAUGGAUGUUUGUCCGCGUCUCUGUGUACAGGUAGAGGCCUUGCGAUGGGCCGAUCCCUCGUCCAAGGAGUCCUACCAACUGUCUAUAGAUCAAAGUCAACAAAGGUUGGGACCCGCAGAUGCUCAAGGCACUGAAGAACGGGUCGUCUAAGUAAGUAAGUGAGACUAAAAUCAUCAUUUGUUUAGGAUGGAGCAUCUCCACAAGCAUUAUUGGCUGCAAGCAGUUUGUUUAUAAACUUGCAGUGGUUGUGAGAGGCUAGAAUGAAUGCAGUGCACAUAUACUGAGAAAUGACUGUCUUACUUUCCAUCUUCCUUGCAGUGCAAAAGAGGAGAUUCUCUGGACAAACAAGAUAAAAAGAAGAUUGAGCGUGAAGAAGAGAAACUUAAGAACAACAAUCGUGAUCUCUCACUUGUGAAGAUGAAAUCUAUGUUUACCACAGGCUUUACAUUUACAGCCUUAUUGAGCAUAACAUCCAGAAAAUGUUGGGCUUUGCUCCAUCAAGAACUGCAAGCAAGCAGAGUGGCAGUAUAUUUGGUCCUCCACCUCAACAGUUUAAGUGAUGUGUGUCAUUCUUAGUAAUGUUGGAUUCUGUUUCUGGGUAUUGGUCUAAGUUUUGGUGAGGGAACUAUUGUGAUAUUUUAGGUUUUUACAGUGGUCAGAAUUUAUACUGAUCUGUGGAGUUAAUUAGUUACAAAUAUUGCAAAUUCUUUAUACUCUCAAGAGAAUAAAGAUCAGAGAUAUAGUUAAUUGGGACACAUCGGUACUAGAACACUUUGGCCCAAUUAUGUGAAGUUCCACAUAAAGAGUUAAAAGGGUUUGUUCUUUAAGAUUUGUCCCAAAAAAACAGCUGCCCCGAUUAACCGAUGGCCCAAUUAAUUGGAAUCUACUGUAUAUCAUUGGUAAGAUGGCAUACUACUCUUUAAAUAUUGGUUUUUUCCAUUCAUCUUCUUUUCCAACUUUUUGUAACUUCCGCCUCCAUUAAUCUUCACGUUUCUCGAGCCGUUUUACAUCUUUCUGGUUAAGCACCUAUGAACCAGACAU